GUUAGUGUGGCAGAGUUUGGUUAUGCAUAAGACCUAAGACCUUAAAACCGGGGUUCAAAUCCCCUCACUAACU
rnacentral:tRNA from 1 species